AUUGAACGCUGGCGGCAGGCUUAACACAUGCAAGUCGAGCGGGGUGAUGGUGCUUGCACUAUCACUUAGCGGCGGACGGGUGAGUAAUGCUUAGGAAUCUGCCUAUUAGUGGGGGACAACAUCUCGAAAGGGAUGCUAAUACCGCAUACGUCCUACGGGAGAAAGCAGGGGAUCACUUGUGACCUUGCGCUAAUAGAUGAGCCUAAGUCGGAUUAGCUAGUUGGUGGGGUAAAGGCCUACCAAGGCGACGAUCUGUAGCGGGUCUGAGAGGAUGAUCCGCCCAACUGGGACUGAAGCACGGCCCAGAAUCCUACGGGAGGCAGCAGUGGGGAAUAUUGGACAAUGGGGGGAACCCUGAUCCAGCCAUGCCGCGUGUGUGAAGAAGGCCUUAUGGUUGUAAAGCACUUUAAGCGAGGAGGAGGCUCUUUUGGUUAAUACCCAAGAUGAGUGGACGUUACUCGCAGAAUAAGCACCGGCUAACUCUGUGCCAGCCGCCGCCGUAA
rnacentral:rRNA from 1 species